AUUGAACGCUGGCGGCAGGCUUAACACAUGCAAGUCGAACGAGUGGCGGACGGGUGAGUAAUGUCUGGGAAACUGCCUGAUGGAGGGGGAUAACUACUGGAAACGGUAGCUAAUACCGCAUACCAUCAGAUGUGCCCAGAUGGGAUUAGCUAGUAGGUGGGGUAACGGCUCACCAAGGCGACGAUCCCUAGCUGGUCUGAGAGGAUGACCAGCCACACUGGAACUGAGACACGGUCCAGAAUCCUACGGGAGGCAGGAGUGGGGAAUAUUGCACAAGGGGCGCAAGCCUGAGGCAGCCAUGCGGCGUGUAUGAAGAAGGCCUUCGGGUUGUAAAGCACGUUCAGCGGGGAGGCGUUACUCGCAGAAGAAGCACCGGCUAACUCCGUGCCAGCAGCCGCGGUAAUUC
rnacentral:rRNA from 1 species